rnacentral:rRNA from 1 species
UAGGGAAUCUUCCACAAUGGACGCAAGUCUGAUGGAGCGACGCCGCGUGAGUGAAGAAGGCUUUCGGGUCGUAAAACUCUGUCGUUGGAGAAGAAUGGUCGGCAGAGUAACUGUUGUCGGCGUGACGGUAUCCAACCAGAAAGCCACGGCUAACUACGUG